UAGAUUGGUGCAAAAGUAAUUGCAGUUUUUGCCAUUACUUUUUAUUGCAAACACUCCAAUUACUUUUGCACAAACCU
rnacentral:miRNA from 1 species